rnacentral:tRNA from 1 species
GUUUCCAUAGUGUAGUGGUUAUCAAUUAAGCCUCACACGAAAAGGUCCCAGUUCAAAAACUGGGUGGAAACA